rnacentral:rRNA from 1 species
ACUUAAAUUGAAGAGUUUGAUCAUGGCUCAGAUUGAACGCUGGCGGCAGGCCUAACACAUGCAAGUCGAGCGGUAGCACAGAGAGCUUGCUCUCGGGUGACGAGCGGCGGACGGGUGAGUAAUGUCUGGGAAACUGCCUGAUGGAGGGGGAUAACUACUGGAAACGGUAGCUAAUACCGCAUAAUGUCGCAAGACCAAAGUGGGGGACCUUCGGGCCUCAUGCCAUCAGAUGUGCCCAGAUGGGAUUAGCUAGUAGGUGGGGUAACGGCUCACCUAGGCGACGAUCCCUAGCUG